rnacentral:tRNA from 1 species
GCGCCUAUCGUCCAAUGGUAGGACACCCGGCCGAUUACCGGAUAAUGAGAGUUCGAAUCUUUCUUGGCGUA